CCUGUAUGAAGCCGGAAUUGCUAGUAAUGGCAGGUCAGCAUACUGCCGUGAAUACGUUCCCGGGCCUUGUACACACCGCCCGUCACACCAUGAGAGUUGGGGAUACCCAAAGCCCGUGAGCCAACUAUAAAGAGGCAGCGGUCUAAGGUAGAAUCAAUGAUUGGGGUGAAGUCGUAACAAGGUAGC
rnacentral:rRNA from 1 species